GAUGAAGAACGCAGCGAAAUACGAUACGUAAUGUGAAUUGCAGAAUUCAGUGAAUCAUCGAAUCUUUGAACGCAUAUUGCGCUCUUUGGUAUUCCGAAGAGCAUGCUUGUUUGAGUAUCAGUAAACACCUCAACCUCUUCUUGAUUUUUCAAAAGGAGGGUGGACUUGAGCUAUCCCAACAACCUUUACCGGUCGGCGGGCGGCUUGAAAUGCAGGUGCAGCUGGACUUUUAUCUGAGCUAAAAGCAUAUCUAUUUAGUCCUCGUCAAACAGGAUUAUUACUUUUGCUGCAGCUAACAUAAAGGAUAAUUGUCCUCUUUGCUGACUGAUGCAGGAUUUUACGACACUUUAUGUGUUGUUCAACUCGAUCUCAAAUCAAGUAAGACUACCCGCUGAACUUAAGCAUAUCAAUAAGCGGAGGA
rnacentral:misc_RNA from 1 species